rnacentral:rRNA from 1 species
AGCGAACGCUGGCGGCAGGCCUAAUACAUGCAAGUCGAACGGUCUCUUCGGAGGCAGUGGCGGACGGGUGAGUAACGCGUGGGAAUAUGCCCUUUGGUACGGAACAACUGAGGGAAACUUCAGCUAAUACCGUAUGUGCCCUUCGGGGGAAAGAUUUAUCGCCAUUGGAGUAGCCCGCGUUGGAUUAGGUAGUUGGUGGGGUAAAGGCCUACCAAGCCCACGAUCCAUAGCUGGUCUGAGAGGAUGAUCAGCCACACUGGGACUGAGACACGGCCCAGACUCCUACGGGAGGCAGCAGUAGGGAAUCUUGCGCAAUGGGCGAAAGCCUGACGCAGCCAUGCCGCGUGAAUGAUGAAGGUCUUAGGAUUGUAAAAUUCUUUCACCGGGAAGAUAAUGACGGUACCCGGAGAAGAAGCCCCGGCUAACUUCGUGCCAG